rnacentral:misc_RNA from 1 species
GAUGAAGAACGCAGCGAAAUGCGAUAAGUAAUGUGAAUUGCAGAAUUCAGUGAAUCAUCGAAUCUUUGAACGCACAUUGCGCCCGGCAGUACUCUGCCGGGCAUGCCUGUUCGAGCGUCAUUUCAACCCUCAAGCCCUGCUUGGUGUUGGGGUCCCACGGCCGCCGUGGGCCCUGAAAGGAAGUGGCGGGCUCGCUACAACUCCGAGCGUAGUAAUUCAUUAUCUCGCUUAGGGCGUUGGGCGGCGCUCCUGCCGUUAAAGAACCAUCUUUAACUCAAGGUUGACCUCGGAUCAGGUAGGAAUACCCACUGAACUUAAGCAUAUCAAUAAGCGGAGGA